CCUACGGGGCGCACCAGUGGGGAAUAUUGGACAAUGGGCGAAAGCCUGAUCCAGCCAUGCCGCGUGUGUGAAGAAGGUCUUCGGAUUGUAAAGCACUUUAAGUUGGGAGGAAGGGCAGUAAGUUAAUACCUUGCUGUUUUGACGUUACCGACAGAAUAAGCACCGGCUAACUCUGUGCCAGCAGCCGCGGUAAUACAGAGGGUGCAAGCGUUAAUCGGAAUUACUGGGCGUAAAGCGCGCGUAGGUGGUUUGUUAAGUUGGAUGUGAAAGCCCCGGGCUCAACCUGGGAACUGCAUCCAAAACUGGCAAGCUAGAGUACGGUAGAGAGUGGUGGAAUUUCCUGUGUAGCGGUGAAAUGCGUAGAUAUAGGAAGGAACACCAGUGGCGAAGGCGACCACCUGGACUGAUACUGACACUGAGGUGCGAAAGCGUGGGGAGCAAACAGGAUUAGAUACCCUAGUAGUC
rnacentral:rRNA from 1 species